UAUAAUUCACUGCAAUAGUUCGGACGCUGCAGGCACUGCGUCGGGUCGCGCGUGAAUGAAGUUUAACUCUAAGGGCUCCAUAACUAAGCCAGUUGUCGUCAGUGAGUGAACCAGGCAAAUGAGGCUACGAAGCGAUCAAACUGAAGAAUCGAGUGGCCCUGACAGCGCAUCUGAUCGCGCGGCAGUAAAGGUGCACUCCUUCAUCCUAAAUGAAGGCCGUUUAGUGUUGUUAAUGCAAUCACUUCUAUCGUCCGUAGUAUUCAAUUAAGUUUUACGUCCGGUGUCGCUCUUAGGUGUUCCGCCAGACAGACGGCUAACUUUCAGUACCAGACGAAGUCCGUCAAUGCCCAAGUUCGAACUUAGACCACAACGUAUCGCCAAGAUUAGCAGGUAUUUUUCCUGUAGUGAUCCAUAAUACCGUCGCAUUGAAAUUACCCUUCACGACAGAGCGAGAAAAAUGAAGCCAUAUGAGACUCAGGUUCGCAGCAAAUACUGAAGACAAUGAAGGUAGCUUGAAGGGUCUACAAGCAAUGUUACCGUGCGAAAUGCCUUGUCUUUGCAAAAAUUGAGAAUCGAGAGAUGCGUUAGAUAUUUUGUCUGUUUUUGGAGUGAGCCAGCUAUCAGUCCUACCCAUGAAAACAAGAGAUUCCAUCGAGACUAUGGAAUACCCUGUCCACGGGAACUUUCUAAACUACCUACUAAUAAUCAUCACUCUAUUUAGAGAGUUGCACCCCGCGCACGAAUUUAACGUCCGUUUACCGAUGACUCGCUAAACGGAUAAAAGUAGCACAGGUUUAAACGAAGUACCACAGUGCCAUCUAUAGUAUUUCAGGCUCCUACAUUUAAAUGCUUUGUAUUUUGCCGCUUAUCGUAGAAUCAGCUGUUCGAUCUUCAAGCGCUAAUAGCCAGCGCUAUACUGUUGAUGUUUUGGAGGUGACACAGCUCAAAAGAACUUGCAGAAGAUAUAGGGGAUUAAUAAGCGAGUUCUGAUAGUCUUUCGGCGACGAAAAACAAGCGAUUCCUCGUACUAGUUCAAGCCUCAAUUAAAUUGGAACAUUGAAGAAAAUUUUCUCUCGUUGCAAAAAGACUUCGAACAGCAUGGACAAAGAACGUGAUCGCUGGAAGUUUUGUCCAGUGGUCGAUAUAUAUAGCGGUGCGUAGACGUUCAAUAAUUAAGUAUCAUGUCCACAGAAUCUAACGAUAGGGAUUAUAGAGGGAUUAGAGGGACGUGGAGGCCUCAAGUGCUAAACGAAUUGGAAAAGGCUGUAGUUGAAAGAAGCUGCCAGAAUGAAUAAUUCACUUCAAGAACUGUGGGUCAAUGUUCGACGCGACAAGGCACUACAAAAAGUUGGUGGUCGCCCCAGGACGCAAGUAGCACUAAGCUUCGCCCUGUUAAAUCAACAGGGAGAUUACUAUUCGUUAGGGGCCCUAUCUCUCUUAUAUCGUCAAGACAAGUGGCAGCUCUCAGCGACCCGACGUACGAAAAGCAAAAUCCUGUAUAGUGAUAGGAACGUAAUGUUGACGGUUAUCUUGCAUAGCAAGAAAUAUAUAAUCCAGUUUUAGCUUCCCCUAUUUUUGAUUACCAUUAAAAUGGAUUUAUUAAUGUUAUGUAAGUAAGGGAAGUUUUCUAUAGUCCCCAUUCCAAGUAGGGAAGAGGCUAGUGAACCGAUCGAUUGAAUCUGACGGGAAGUGAUUAAAUAACUGUAUUAAACUUGUACUCACUAAUAUCUCGAACACCAAUGCUUUCAGACGGGAUCAAGCACGGGCUUAUCUCUAUACGUCUUGGCUAGCAGUAAUAAUUGUGA